rfam:Salmo salar isolate Sally breed double haploid chromosome ssa10, whole genome shotgun sequence.
UGCACUCACUACUGUAAGUCGCUCUGGAUAAGAGCAUCUGCUAAAUGACUCAAA